ensembl:lncRNA novel transcript, sense intronic to MFSD1
UUUAUGUGGAUUGUCUGUCUCAUGCUUGUUUCACCAGGGUAGUUACAACUAGGGUGGCAUAAUUUGACUGAUUCAAGAACUACUUCAAUAUAAAUCAAAAUAAGAGAGUCUAAAUUCUAAGUAAUUUUUUAACAGGACAAGAUUAUUUAUAAUUAUGAGUCCAUGGUAAUGAGUGAGGAAUAUUUAUUUUUAGACAGUGUUAGAGCAAAUAUGGACAAAAACGCGCCUAGUUCAACUAUGACAUAGUUGGCAGCAUGAUUAAAAGAACCACCAAAUUUCCCUAAUGCCAGUUUGAGUGUUUUAGUAAACAUUUGAGAAGAAAAUGCCAAAAAUGUUGGAAAAUACAUAAUAUUUAUUUUGCACGUGCCAAAUGUGUAUUAAUUUAUGAACAUUUAUUGUGUUUACCUUGUGUGUGCAUGGUAAGCCCAGAAGUCAUGGAAAGACAAAAUCUGCAUGGGCCAAAGGUAUAAAUUUGUAUUGCCUUUCUUUGACUAGCUAAUGUGUUUCUUGCUACUGUUCUUAAGAUAUUGUAUGUGGGUUUAUAUUUGUUUUCAAAAAUAAAUGGAAAGUUUGACAAG